rnacentral:rRNA from 1 species
UACGGAGGAUGCGAGCGUUAUCCGGAUUUAUUGGGUUUAAAGGGUGCGCAGGCGGUUUGUUAAGUCAGCGGUGAAAUCUACGGGCUCAACCCGUAAACUGCCGUUGAAACUGGCAGACUUGAGUAUGGAUGAAGUAGGCGGAAUUCGUUGUGUAGCGGUGAAAUGCAUAGAUAUAACGAGGAACCCCGAUUGCGUAGGCAGCUUACUAAGCCAUAACUGACGCUCAGGCACGAAAGCGUGGGUAUCAAACAGG